ensembl:lncRNA
AAUCUCUUCAGAUUGCCUUAACAAACUGGCAACAAGAAUGCCAAAGGUCUGCAAGGCUGUAAUUGCUGCAAAUGGAGGAUUCUUUGGCAAAAUCAAUGUUUGACAGACACAAUUAUUAUUUCAAUUAAAAAUAAUUUUUUCUAACCUAAAAAAAAUCAUAAUCUAUAUUUCCUAUUCAAACUCAUUUCAUGGCUGUUUUCAUGGAAAACAAGCACAUUUCUAAGUGACCCCAAACUUUUGAACAACCCAUUUUGCCAUACGAAUCCCUUUCCCCUCUCCCCACUUCACAAUUUCAUUGAUGAUUUCUUUAAGCACAGGGGCCAGAUCCUGUGAAAAUGGCUGUUGAUCACUGAAAAUGAGGAAAUAUGCAGACACUCAAAUACAACGUGUCAAAAAGCACAGGGCCCACGAGCUCCAGUUGUUUGGCCGUCAGUCGAACCCCUAUCUCCAUGAUCUUCUCCUGUCCACACACAUGGAAUUCGGCCAUCGACCUCACGCAGCUGUUUUAUGGUGACAUCCUGAAGCUGUCCAUUCUCUGUCUGAGGCUCCAUGUCCUUCCUCCCCAGCUUAUUCUGUAGGGCCUGACACACACACACACACACAAACAUACACACACAUACAUGCAUACACACACAAACACACACACACACACAGACAGAUAAAGACACACAUAUACACACACACACAGCCCAAACAUUAUUCCCAUUCAAUAUACUAUUUUCCCUAACCUUAACCCAAGACCCCUAACAUUAAACCUAACCCCUAACCUUAACCCUAGACCCCUAACCUUAACCCUAGACCCCUAACAUUAAACCUAACCCCUAACCUUAACCCUAGACCCCUAACAUUAACCCUAACCCUUACCCUAAUCAUUUCCCCAAAUGAAACACUUACACCCAACCUAAACCCCCAGACAAAGUAUUAUUUUUCUCAUGGGUACCGGCUGAAAACUUCCCAGAGGUUGAAUGUUACUAUAAUUUAAAUGUACAGUAAAAGAUGGACACGUGCAUUCUGAACAAAUUGUAUUGAUGACAAAUUUGCAGUAGAUUAUAAUACCAAUGGGUAGGAAGACAUUUAUUUUUCCCCCAAAUAUAAGUCCCUCAUGUCACUCUCUGUGCAUCUUUUCCUGCAACUCACCUUCAUCUCCCUCAUCUCCUUGGGGCUAAAGAAAGAGAAGUGUCCCUCCACCUGUUUAGCAAACAUGGCCACCAGACACACCAGCAGUACACAGCACAUCACAGCUCCACGCAUGGUCAUUCUACUUGGUCCUGCCUUUGACACACGGACAUGCACGCACAAACACACACACACACACACACACGGAAGUGAGUAACAGAAUAAUUU